rnacentral:rRNA from 1 species
UACGUAGGGUGCAAGCGUUAAUCGGAAUUACUGGGCGUAAAGCGUGCGCAGGCGGUUUUGUAAGUCUGACGUGAAAUCCCCGGGCUCAACCUGGGAAUUGCGUUGGAGACUGCAAGGCUGGAGUCUGGCAGAGGGGGGUAGAAUUCCGCGUGUAGCAGUGAAAUGCGUAGAUAUGCGGAGGAACACCGAUGGCGAAGGCAAUCCCCUGGGCCUGCACUGACGCUCAUGCACGAAAGCGUGGGGAGCAAACAGG